AUUGAACGCUGGCGGCAGGCCUAACACAUGCAAGUCGAGCGAGCGGCGGACGGGUGAUUAAUGUAUGGGGAUCUGCCCGCUAGAGGGGGAUAACUACUGGAAACGGUGGCUAAUACCGCAUACUAUCGGAUGAACCCAUAUGGGUUUAGCUGGUGGGUGGGGUAAAGGCUAACCUAGGCGACGAUCUCUAGCUGGUCUGAGAGGAUGAUCAGCCACUCUGGAACUGAGAAACUGCCCAGAGUCCUACGUGAGGAGGAAGUGGGGAAUAUUGCAAAAUGGGCGAAAGCCUGAUGCAGCCAUGCCGCGUGUAUGCAGAAGGCCUUAGGUUUGUAAAGUACUUUCAGCGGGGAGGCGUUACCCGCAGAAGAAGCACCGGCUAACUCCGUGCCAGCAGCCGCGGUAAUUC
rnacentral:rRNA from 1 species